CCUACGGGAGGCAGCAGUGGGGAAUUUUGGACAAUGGGCGCAAGCCUGAUCCAGCAAUGCCGCGUGAGUGAAGAAGGCCUUCGGGUUGUAAAGCUCUUUUGUCAGGGAAGAAACGGGUCUUUCUAAUACAGAGGUCUAAUGACGGUACCUGAAGAAUAAGCACCGGCUAACUACGUGCCAGCAGCCGCGGUAAUACGUAGGGUGCAAGCGUUAAUCGGAAUUACUGGGCGUAAAGCGUGCGCAGGCGGUUUUGUAAGUUUGUCGUGAAAUCCCCGGGCUCAACCUGGGAAUGGCGAUGAAGACUGCAAGGCUAGAGUUUGGCAGAGGGGGGUAGAAUUCCACGUGUAGCAGUGAAAUGCGUAGAUAUGUGGAGGAACACCGAUGGCGAAGGCAGCCCCCUGGGUCAAAACUGACGCUCAUGCACGAAAGCGUGGGGAGCAAACAGGAUUAGAUACCCUGGUAGUCCACGCCCUAAACGAUGUCUACUAGUUGUCGGGUCUUAAUUGACUUGGUAACGCAGCUAACGCGUGAAGUAGCCGCUGGGGAAUCGGUCGCAAGNUUAAAACNCAAANAGAGUAGAGNGNGAGAGNGCGAGACGACGACGAGGAGGAG
rnacentral:rRNA from 1 species